UGAAUCGUUCUUUUCAUCUUCAGCGUUUGGAGAGUCAACAACUCAUUUUCACUGAGUGAAAUAAAAAAAAGUUGAAAUUUUAUUUUCAACAAAAAGACAAAGAAAUCUUGUCUUCCACAAUGGGAUCAUCGACAGAAUUAAAUCAGCAACCGUUGCCCGUUGCAAAGGCCGGCUAAUCAUUGAACAUAAAAUGAAUUCCUUUUUUGGAAAUUCUUUUGGUGAAAAAUGUUAGGUCAUGAGGUAUGACCACGUGGUAUGUGCGCAACCAACCGAGCUCAUUGAACUGAAACCCAUGAAGGUGAAGCCACAUGUCGAUGGAUACAUGAUCCGCAAAUUUCAGCAACAUCUUCAAAAGGAUUGGCACUGAAACCAUAAAACGUAAAAUUUCCACACAAGAAAAUUGCACGAAACCAGAACAGACUUUGUUGAUUUUUGAUUUUGAGAAAAUCGAAUUUAAUUGAUAGUAAGAAUAUUGCGGCGAGUAAUUAACGAACAUUUCAAGCCAAACUCACGGGAUUACAUACGAGUUCCUGGUAACUCAUUUUUUAUCCUGGGUAAAGUCCCCGGGCCAGCAGUAGAAAGUACUGAUGCGUUAAGCAUUUCAUUGCAGUUGUCGGUAUUUUGCUCAUAAAAUGAGAGAAACACCUUAACGGGUAUUUCGAUUUUUUGUGGUAAAUGUUCGCUUCUGCAAACCGGCCAGAAUCUAUAGAUAUGUUUUGGGCUUUUUCAAUCGAUCAUCUGUUUCGAUUGUUAAACCACCACAAUGGGGCUCAGUCUGUAAUGUUUGUACCCUUUUACUCAACAACAUGUUCUUGCUUGAUACUGAAUUCGAUUUCCUCAAUUUUCCGAAAAACUAAACGAAUUUUGACAAAUUAUGUUCUGGUAUCGUGUCAUUUUCAAACACUGCAUUCAAUUGCUUGAUGAGAGUGUUUUUGGGGGCGGAUAUUAACUUUGUACAUUUUCAAUUAACAUCGCUAGGUUUAACAGUCGCAGUCAAUACAGUCUGCAUUCAGCUGUCGCUAGGAAUGUGAAGCAUCCAAUUGACGAAGCAUUUGCGCGAGAGUAAAAUACAUAUUCAAAUGUAUUCCUAUUCAGUUUUGAAAUUUGAGAAAUAAAACGAAAAAUCAAAAAUUAAAA